GUGUGUGUGCACAUACAUGCAUGCAGCUUCAUAAAGGUGUGAGCGUAUGUGCAGCAAGUGCAGGGGAGGCCAGAAGAGAGUGUCACGCCCCCUGGAGCAACAAUGAUAAGUGGCUGUGAGCUGCCCAAGGUGGUUGCUGGGAAUCUGACUCGUCUUCUCCAAGACAACGAGCCCCUCUGACCACUGAGCAGUAUCUCUGGCCCCUGCAUGUAUUUCUCAAUCUUAAACUUAAAAACUAAAUCCAAGUUUUUAAAAAGGCAUUGCCUAUGUUGUACCUUCCCUAGACGGGGCAGGCACACUGUUCUACCUUCAGCUUCCAUUAGCUUGCACACAGAGAUCCCCAAUCCCCCUGGGAUUCCUUCUGUCUUAGUUCCAUUGUUUGGAGUUCAGGGUCCACCUCUGACCUCCCAGUUCGGCUUUCCUACCUGCUGGAUGUACGGUAUUCUGUACGUCCAUUUCCUGGAGCUGAGUAACCUAUCGUGAAUACUUACUUGUCUGUCCUUUUUUCACCUUGGUAACCAUUCUUCUGUCCUUCUGUUAAUAUGAUUCUCCUGCCUUUCCAAAUUAAGUUCUAUCUGACUCCAAAGAUUAGCUGCUUCCCUUCCUGCCCCCUUCCAUUCCUCCCUCGCUCUUUGUCUCUGUCUUUCUCUGUGCAUAUCUCUGUAUUGCUGUUUCUUUGUGUAUAUGCAUGUACGUGUGUGUGUGUGUGUGUGUGUGUGUGUGUGUAUUCAUAGGGAAAUCCAGUAAAUAUUUGACAAGUGAAAAAGGAACUUAAGGUAACGAAGAGAUAAUGAUACUUCUCUGAGGUAGGAAUUAUGGUAGGAAUAAUACACGAAAGUAAACGUAUUUAAAGUGUGUACUGGUACUGUUAUCGGUAACUGUAGUAAUAUGCAUUUGGCAUAUUUUCUCUCUGCCCUUAGAACGAUGGGCAUGAUGGUCGCUCUCAAGACCUCUCCCUGUUAAAGCUGUGAAGUACCCCCAUCCAAAUGGAGUCUUGCCCAGAAUCUGUCCCAUUGGGAGACACAAUGACACACUGAACUCCGGUUAAAGCUAAUCUCUCUGCAGUUGGAUGCAGGCUGAAGUCUACUUCAUCUCAGACUUGCUGUUAGUCAUCUCAUAAGAAAAUGUCGCUUGAAACAUGGCCAGAUUCCCUAGCUGUUAUCAGGUCAGGAUUUAGGUAACAUACUCUCUUCUGGAAGCUUCAUUUGCAUGUCCCAAAUCAUCCUUGCAAACCAUUUAUCUCCCCACACUAUUGGAUGUUGUAAGCAUUUGGGAAGCAUUCUCAGGGUGUUUGAAAUCAACAAGGCAAUUAGGCAGGUUUUAAAGGAGUCAAAAAUACAAUUGACGGCACUUUGGAAACGUCGAUGAGAUUUUCAGCCUGGCAGACCAUGCCGGCAAUGGAGUGUUUGUGAGGAAAUUUUAACACGAGUUUAAAUAUGCAUCAUUUGGAACUUCGGAAUUGAUUUUCAAACUGAAAAAUGGGCAGAGCAGAGAGCCCCAAAUACUUUGGGAGAAAUAUUCCUCUAGAAAAAAAUAAGUGUAUAUUUGGAGUCGGAAAGAAAUAGAUUUUAAUCCCAGAUGUGUGACAAGAAAACGAGCAAUUUUGGGAAAGUCAAUUAUUCUCUGAGAAUUUGUUUUCUCCCGUUUAGAAAUGAGGUCAGCGCCGCCAUCUUUAAUUAACAUCCACCAGCAUCCAACAAGCUUUCGUGAACCUUCCUUCUCACUCUUCUCCUCUUUGGGGAGCUGCACUGGUUUUGGUUUCAAGAAAACGUCUAUGGUUGCACAUUUGGUAAGCACUUCAGACCGCCUUGGUCAAAGUGCAUUAAGACACACACAUCAAGGCCUGCUUCCCUACACUAAAUAGCAUAAACCUAUCUGCCGCCUCCCUUCUGCCACCAACAGUGACAACGAUGGAAGAGGGCUGAGGACCGCACUCAGGGCUCCACAGGAAAGAUAUGGAGAGAUGGACCCCAACUUUCACAGGGCAUGUCAGGUAAGGUGGUCUUUGAAUGACCUUCGUUUCCUGUCAUUAACAACCCCCGCCCCCAAUAAGGAAACUAACUCAGCUCGGUUGCAUUGUUAGGAGAGCUGGGAUGUAGCUCAGUUGGAAGAAUGCUUGCUGAGCGUUCAUGAAGGGAGCCCAGAACUUGGUCCCCAGCACCACACACAUUGGGAAUAGAUGAUCCCAGCACUUGAGAGGUGGAGUCAAGAGGAUCAAACAUUCAAGGUCACCCUGUGCUACUCGGGGAGUUCAAGGCCAAACUAGGCUAUAUGAGACUUGUUUCAAAAUAAAAGCCACGAUGAUUACUUACGUCCCACUAUGCUUUCCAAUAAACUAGUCUUUCUUUUUUCCCUUCAAGUCUAUGAAUAAAACAAACCCUGUCACUAUUGGAGAUCGACUUCCACUCCAGUGCGGUGCUUUUAAGACCAUUUGCCAAGCAUGCCGCACCAUUUGACCAGUUCUGGGGCAGGGGGCAUGCUCUAAUUACUGAUUGUGGAGUUCGGUAUCUAUAGCAACAGGCAGAAUUGACAACAGGAAGCUUUGCCCUCUGGGGCACCAUCCGAAGUUUAUAAAAUCAACUGGAGGCCAAGGCUAUAGUUAAUCAGGCGGGCUUUCGGAGGCAGGAGCUCCUGGUCCACACUUAAACGGAACGAGAUUAUUUAAUAAGACAAUCGCAGGGUUGGAGAUGGCAGAGUUUAUUUAGCUGUGCUUUGCUGGGCCUCUCGGAGUAAUUUCUCCUAAUGGCACUGAUUCGCUUGUGAAUCCAGGCAAGCAGGAGAGCCAGGGAGGGUAUUGGUUUAAUCAGACCACCGACACUGCCUACUUCUAAAGGGUGGCUGCCAUGCAUCAAUCUAUUCUACUUGAUUCGUUAAUCGGAUGGUGAGGGGGUAUGAAUUUUCCCAGGAUCAAGAAUGCUGUCUGACAGGAUUCUUUAUAGUACUUCUGCUUUUAACUGGCAUUAAUUCAGUUCACUCCCUUUACUUCAUGUUCCCACAGCUGACAGGUGAGGCUUUGGAUUCUAUAUCACACUGUCUGAGAAAGGUACGGGAGGGAGAAAUCCUAGAGACUGGGACUCAAGCUAUUUUGAUCACAGUCUCUGCUUCCUACGGAACAGGGCCACCAAAGGGUUGUUGGUUCCUACGGGGUCUCAAUGUCAUCAUUCACUAAUUUGGGGAAAAAUAUACUGUCAUGGAGCGAUGGAGAACUUAUACAAGGGUGAGCCCACCACAGUGUCUGGGAACAGGAUGAAAGCACUCGCUGCCCAAAGAUGAGGAGCGGCACCCACUGAAAUUCGAUAUAUGGACAGUGACAGGUAGAUCAUGGGCCAUCAUUGGACAGACACCCCAACUGAGUCAGGUUACACUAGGCUUAGAGAGGGACCCUAUCUCAAAACCUAAGGUAGAGAGUGGUCAAGGAAGAUAUUUGACGCCUAUCACUGGCUUAUACGCACGCACGCACGCACGCACGCACGCACGCACGCACGCAGUGUUUCUUCAUCUGCCAGCAUUGUUUUCCACGGCAAGGUGGAUGCAUCGAAACCAGUUUUGCAGGGUAAGGUGUUAAGCUUCAUAGCAUCCUAUAGCCCCAGCUAUAUCUGCCUCUAUACUCUAAAAAGGCAUCCAUGCCUAGAUCCGUAGCUCUUAUGUCCUCUUCUAAGGCCAGAGACAGUGAAUUCAGAGACAGUGAAUUCCCACCAGGCUUCACGCAUGUCCAGCUCACUUUGCUGAUGGGACACUGUGGCUUUCCUGGCCCCGCCCUUUUCUCUCAUCUACAGCAGGACUGUGAUUGAAACCACUGGCCAGGCACAGGCAUACAAUGACAGGAUUUGGCCUCCUCCUCCUGUGGGAGGAGAUCCUCUUUGGAAAGUUCAGGUUUUCUUUGUGUUCGUGAAGACAAAGGAAGACCAGAGUGGCUCUUGGUUCCUGCAUUGGGAGCAGUGACUCUGUGGAUGUUGGGGCCACAGAACAGAGUUAGUCACUAUCUUUGCCCCAUGGAGCCCCAGCUGGGCUCCAGGAGACUUACUACAUGGGGCAGCCACAGAAGGAAGCCCACGCUGUAAAAUCAGUCAGAUUCCCAAGGUGAAGCCAGAAGUAAGUGAAGUAUUGUGACCUUUCUCCCCAAAAGGUGCACCAGACCCAGGCCUUCCACCGUCAACUUGGCUCUUCUAAUUGUAUCUUCCUUGGCUUAGGCUUAGAGGUUUCCACAGCGAAGGGCCUGGAUGCUGAGGCAGAAGCAAAGAGAAGGGGAGAUGUAAGCAAAGAAUUGCUUUUAAUUGUACCCAGAGGCAGCACAACUUCAUAGAGGGCUUGCAGCGAGUGGCGGAGGAUUUGAGAAACAGCUGUGUUCCCGGCCCGCGUGCUCCGAGGUGGAACAGCGCCGUCAGCACCUGCACCCGCUGAGCGUACACCCUCACGCCCCACACGCGUGUGCACAGCUGGGACCCAUCCGGCUGAUGCCGCUGUUAAUAAGAGUUCCUGGCAAGAGGUCACCAUACACCCUGGGCACUGUGGAAGUACAGAAAGGGUCGUCCAUGGAAGGAAGACUGCCAUGCUUCUGAUGUGUGGCUACCAGGCCCUGCCUUCAAGGACAUAGUCGUUUAGUGUCUCAGAGAAGCUUGUCACUGUGAGUCACAUUUCCAAGGGUGAUGUGGGGAAGUGGGCGGUGUGCUGACCUCUCUCCUGACCAGUUCCGGUCCUUGCUGGACUGUUUUCUACACGUGUACCUUUGGCAAGUGAUUAUAACCGUUACCUGAUGAGACUGCAGUGGCGACACCAUUUGAACAGCGGGGUCCCUGACCAGCGUUGAUGCUUGCUUGUGUAACUUGCUAACUACAAGGCAGCUACAGAAACUCGAGAGUUGCAAGUGGGGGCCCAGUUCUGAGAGAGCAUCACCUCCAGAAGAUGCUACCACCCCAUCUCCCAAAGCAUGCUUUCCUCCACAAAUGUAUGGAAAUCUCUUUAGAUGGAUGGCAUCUGAUCCAAAUGGCCAGGUGAAUGUCACAAAUUAAAUUUUUGCUCUUUCUUCAGAGUCUCCAAUUCUCCCUCUUUCGGGCAUUAAACAAUAAGCCCCCAAACCAACAAUAACUUGCCACUUGUUUGUUUAUUGUAUUAGGAAUGAUUUUUUUUUUAAAAAAAGAAUAUGCAUUCAAUACUGGCUCAAAGAAACCAGACUCUUAAAGGCUGAUUUUGCUCAUUUAAAUUGCGACCAAUCUUUUGGAAAAGCAAUUUGGCAAUAUGACUCAGGAACCUUUAGAAAAAAAUUGUGCCCAACCUUUGACCUAGUAAUUCCAUUUCUGGGAAUCUAUCCUAAGGGCAUAAUGGGAACUGUGGAAACUGCUUUAUGCACAGAGAUGUUUAUCAGAACACUCUUUCUGACAGCAAAAGUAUUUAAAACCAUUUAAAUGCUCAAUGGUACGGAAGAGGAUAAGCGGAUGCAUUUCCUCCAAUAAGAACGGCAGCGAAGUCUUUGUAACAACAAGAUGGGAUGUAUGUCAAGAAAAUUUCGACGCAGCAUCCCAGAUGUGUGGAGGUGGGUGAUCGCAGCAGGAGGACAGAAAAAAAGACCGGGAGGCACACACAUGCUAAUCGUGGUUACUUACAGCAGACAGAGUGUUUCUUUCUCUCCCUUUCAAAGAUAAAGACCUCUCUGCUGAACUUACAUAUGUGUUCGCUCUUUUGUUGGCCACUUAAACAAUUCAGAGCCUAUGCGGUCUUUCCUCUGUGACCUCAUCUUUCUCUAUACCAGCUGGAAGUCUCUACCCUGGUCCUUUAAUCCUUGGAGGGUUCUCUUGGUUCAAGGUCCAAGGUAGGACCGGAGGCUAUCCAGGGACCGUCUCCAGGCACAUACCCUUGUGUCAUUUGUUGAUCCCUGGUGAGACUUUACCUUAGUUACUGGCUUGUAUUGAGUCUCUGGACUCUGAAUGUGGAGUAACUGAUGGCCACUGAGGAUUUGGUGUGGUUGCUAAGUAGCUUGAAGGCAAGCUGUGUCUUGCUGGUCACAAAAGCAGUUGUACGGUUUACUUCCUGGCCUCCCUCCGGCCUCUAGCUGAGUGGCUCAUACCCUGAGUGGCCUCCCUUGCUUCAUAGUUGAGGGAUAGUUUCAAGGAAUUAGUACCUCCCUCACCAAUUUCUUACGUGCACCUCUAUGAAUUGUGCUUAUACUGGUGGAGAAAUGACUUGGGGGAAAAAAGGUCUGAUCAAAGAGGACAGCAGCACUGUGCACCAACAGCCCUGGGGACCAAGGAAUAUAAAGAUAAGAAGCUAUUAGGUUUCCAAGGUAGCUGAAUGGGAGUAGAGUAUCUGCCCUGUGGGGACAAGUCCCUUUCCUGAUGGGAGAUACAUGGGUUCAUCAAAGUAGGGUGAAGACCAACAUAUGGCUUUGCUGGGAAGGCAAAUCUCACUCCUGUUGCUGUAAUCCUGCGGGUGGUCUGCCUUCCCUCAAGAUGUGCCUGAUGCUGUCUUUCUCUGAGCACUGCCCUCUGGGUCAUCAAGAAGUAGAGGUAAAGGGAGGCAUUGAGCUAUCUCUCACCUCCGUCCAUGACCUCUCACUGUUUGGUCUGCCGCAAUCCUGCCUGGGGCUGUUGGUUAAUUUGGCAGGAGGGUACAUACCGGGAACUCGUAGUUUAAGAGUUUAUUCUUCUGGGUCAGGUAGCAAAAUCCCACACGGCGAGCGGCUCACACCAGCAGAAAUGGGCUCUUCCGCAGUUCAGAGGUCCCUGAUUUCGGAAUGAAGGUGCUCACAGGGCUGGGCUCCCUCAGAGGCUCUAUAGGAGAAUUCUUCCUGACUCUCGUUCUGCAUCCUUGCCGUUCCUUGGCUUAUGUCAGAGUUACUCUCGUCCAUGUUCACAAACCUGUUCCUGAAUAGUUCACAUGCACAUGGGCUGGGGCCUCUUCCAAUCGCCUUUCCCUUAUGAAAAUCGCCCAUCAUUGGAUAUGUAGGUCACCCUAACUCAGUGUGCCCUCCUCUUGGAUUCUACUGAAUGGAAUUUGGGAAGGGCACACUGUAGUCACAGGAACUAAUGACGGUCCCUGGGGCGCUCACUCCUGGAUACUCUGGCUCCUGUUUUCAGCCAUUUGUCACAAUAUACAUACGCUAAGAAAAGUAUACAUUCCUCCUGAAAUUCCCAUUUGGGGUUUCAACCGAGGGGAGUAGGAACACGUGGUUCACCCCACCAAAGAUUUACUUGCAAAUUGAACACCAGUUGGUGCGGGUGUGGGUUCGAAUCCUGCCUCUGCUGUCUCUAGCCUAGGGACAGAGGGGAUAUCUAAUGAGGUCACAUGCUAUUUGAGCUCAUUGCCAGGCAUAUAUAAAUCACCCAAAAGUACUCACUAUAAUUCCACCUUGAGAAUGCCAUCCAGACCUGCCAGUCACCCCUAAAUGCUGAGACCCAAGCUGGAGUUAACAGCACAAAGGGGACUCUAGGCAUGAGAUACUCCAUGUACCUUACUUGGACACCUUUCUUCUGCCUCCCCCCAGAUGUGUUCCCAUCCCCAUAAAGCUAACCCCUCCUCAGCCUCUAACCUGGCCCUUAUGUCAUUUAUCCCUAAAAAAAUCUUCUUGUCACCAUGGCGAAAGUGCCUUGGUCCAAUACCUGCUCAGCCCUUCUUUUAGCAAAGAGAGGCCGGGGUCCCUCGGGCUACGCAGUUGUUCUAGCUACCCCAGUGCCCCUAGGGCUGUCUUAUCAAAUAUAGGACACCCAGUUAAACUUGAGUUUCAGAAAUCAUGAGUAAUUUUCUUCACAUAAGCAUAUUUAAAAUCUUACCCUCCCCCCACGUGUGCAGAAAUAGAUGUCUCAGGAGAUGACAGGUGGGAGGUGAGUGAUCCAGUCCCUCAGUGACCUGCCUUGAUGAUGAUGGGCUCCCCUGUUCCACCCCCUUAGUCUUCCAGGUGGAUUUUAAAAAAAAAUCAUGUGUACCCUGAAGAAACCAUUUAGAAAAACCCUUGCAAUGGCUUGCUUCUGCUUCUCCUUCCUCCAACUUCAAGGAAAACAAGGCUGGGCUCCUCCGUGCCCUGACCUCUCAUGUCUGUUCUCCAGGGCGGAGCUUGUGUUUUUGCCCUGGAGCCUUCUGCACAAUUCUUACAAUUAUGUAUGCAUGUGCUUGUGUGUUCAGUCUCUCUAUCCCACAGCUCUGUUGUGUCUGAACCAUCCAGUUCUCCAGAAGCCUGUUCCGGGCUGGCAUGGUAUAGGAUCUGACUCCAUGACGAAUAGGAAACCUUACUGAGAAAUAGAGUGUCUGGUGAUGGCAGAACUGAGACAGGUUCUCUGCUGUAUACAGCUGCAUUUGACAGAGGCCACAACAUUUGUCUGUCCACAGCUUUAGGUUCCUUAGUGUCUCUUCCAGACUUGACCUUGGGGUGUCUCCUGAAUGCCUCACCCCAGUCCCCUCAGCUGUAAAAUGAGGUGCUGAAAGGAGAUUAUUUCUCUGGUGUCUUCCGGCUCUAAACUUCUAUGACGCUAUAUUCUAGGUAAUAAACUUUACGGCUAUGAAUAAAUUAAUGGAAAUGAAUAUUUAAAUGAUGUGCAAACAUUUCACGCAAGUGCUUUCUUAGUCUUUUAUGUAGUGGGAGAAGAGGAGAAAGGCUGAGAUCUAAAAGGCGGGGAACCGCUUCAUCAGUUCAAACCUGGUGUCUUGUUCCAAUCUGCCUGGGAAAGGAGUAUAUGUACAACGCGAUUCCCUACCCAGCCUUAGAGAGGGGAAAGUCAGAAGAAACGUCAGUUUCUGGAGAAGCUGGAAGCCCACGGAUGAAUGGAUGUUCCAGGUCUUAGGAAACAGUUUGGGGGUACCAGGACAUUCACAUGCUACCCAUCUCUCUAGCUCCUGCAGUCCAUCAAGGAUGCUGGACAUGAAGGGAUGGCAGCAAGACACACCGAAGCUUCCAUGGGUUUUCAAGGGAACCUGCUCCCUGCCGGUCAAUUGCAGAAGAGGUCUAAGACAAGAGUCCUGGUUGUGGUGAAUGUAAGUAUCCAAGAGGAGAGAUACACUGAGAAUUAGAGGGAGGGCUACCUAAGUUGUACUGAUAGGAGGAGGAAGCUGGGAAAGAAUGAAGAUUCUCAGACCAAGCCUAGGCAGUGACCUGACAUAGGGGUCAGACAAGCACGGCAAGCAAGGUGUGGCUGGGACCUGGUUGAGGUACCCAGCAGUAAGAGUCACGCUUGUGGGUGGCACUUGUUGGGCUCCUGUGAAGAGUGCUCCACCGAGAAAGGGCCAGAGCAGCUGAGCGCCACCCACUUAUAACCCACAGGAGGAAAGCUCUCCACCCUGUGUCUUAGUGCCUGAGUGGCUUGUAAGUUCUGAGUUCUAGUUGUACCCAAAAGACACACUCCAACCUCCUGAUACCGGGAAGUCUUUAUAUCACUGGCCCAUUACUCCCCACAGCCACCCAGCCUUGCGUUGCUCUUGUGGAACCUCUGGAACGCCAUGUGCGCUGAAAUUUGAGCUGGGUCUUCUGGCAAAUCGUUGUCUACAGAAAUGUGCUAACACCCUAAAACAUGUAACAAUGAAAGAACGGGCCAGAACGACCAUUUCUGUUCGGUUUAUUCAUUUGAAACAAAUAUCUUACCAUGUAGCUCAGAGUGGCCUUGAACUCAUGACCUUCCUGCCCCAACCUCCCAAGUGCUGUGGUCACAGAUACACGCUGCCACAGAUAUCCACAGCCAGGGCAGAACUACUUUUCUUGCUUUUUCUUCUUGAACUGGGGGCUGAAUCCAGGGCCUUGCUUGCACAAGGCAAGCACUCUCUCACUCACUGAGCUCUGCCCCUGGCCAUUGUGUAGGCCUUUAUUGAGAUGAGGCAUCUCUGAAUGCUGUCCUUCAAGUCACUCUGUGACCAGAGCGGUCCUUUGAGCUAGUGAUGAAUCAGGGAUGACAUAUGUGUGCCACCAGGCCCUGUUCACCACUUCCAUUUUCUGAAAGUAAAUAGCAAGUUGGGAAGUAUGCAGGUGUCCCUCAAUAUCUUCUUUCUCAUAAGUGCACCCUCAAACCUAGAAUUCUACUCUUUUUGUGCUGAUAAGAAAGCCCAGCGGUUAUAGGUCAUAUGUCCCUCACUCAGCUGAUGAAGAACAGAGCAGAGAUACCAAACAUGAGCCAAAGACCCUGGGACCACCAGCCAUUUCUGCUCCAGCUUCCCUCCACCAGCGAACACUUCUUCUUUGCAGUCAUUGCACUGGAGUGGACCCUCAUUGUCCUGCUGACUAGUGUGCAGAAGAUGAGGUUCCUGGCAUGGUCUAAAGACACGGGAAAGGGGGCCUUGGGAUGUGGUAUGGUGGGGCUGGUGGAGACUAAAGUCCCUUUCCCUUCACACCAGGACAAGAAUGGCUUGAGGGGCAAACUAUUCGGUCUCUUUUCCAGUUAGAACUGGGUCAGAUAUUCUAGCAGAGAGAAUGGCUUGUUCUCUGCUCCAGCUGUUAUCUGAGCUACACAGCUGGGGGGUGGGGGGGGAGAGAACUCCAACCUGCUCCUUGGGCCCAGAGCUAAAGGAUUCUCCAAGCUGCAUUUGAUGGCCUCUGGCAGCUGGAAGGAGGAAGGGAGUGGUGGGGGUUGCGAGGAGAACAGAAUGCAGGGAGGGACAGGCACCCUCAUUUCUACUAGUGCAACCAAUUACCCAGUGAGUCAGAUCUACCUGCCUCACAGCUGACAACUGGUGAGCAUUCAUUCUCUGCCAGAUGUUCACGGGCGAGAAGCUGAAUUAUUUAAGAGGACCCCCAAGCAGCCAUAGGGAACACGCUGAAAUGGGGAGGAGGUCAUGGGUAUGAGUUGAUUGCUCCAUUAAAGUCUGAAAGUCCAACUGCGGGGUCAGCCCUAGCUCACCAUCUGCCAGGAAGGAGAUAAACUGGGAUUGCUCCCAAAUCCCGGAAGACAGAACACACCGGGGUCCUUUCCUUUACAGGGCUACCACUUUCGUCCCCCAGGAAGCUGGGGGUUUUAAACUAGCGUACCACUCAAAAGUUCCACUACCAAACGGCAUGCUCUGUGAUAAAUCUUAGACCUUAGCAACGUGCUUGCUAGGAAAGGUGGCCUCACUCUGUGCCGGUCAUUGAGUCUGCCAUAAAUGCAGCUACUGAUGGCUUCCCAGUUAGCCAAUGCUACAGUUCCAGAAUUCUGGGUUCUUCGAGGGGAAAAAAAAAAA
rnacentral:sRNA from 1 species